AACCCAUGGUGAGGGCACCAAUUCAGUAAGUCCUUGCACCUCUCCCAUGUAUCAUAUAAAGUCUCUAAAUCAAUCUGCACAAAGGAAGAUAUAUCAUUCCUCAACUU
rfam:Gossypium raimondii chromosome 10, whole genome shotgun sequence.